GAUCAUCUCAGGACGAACGCUGGCGGCGUGCCUAAUACAUGCAAGUCGAACGAGAGCGACCAGUGCUUGCACUGGUCAAUCUAGUGGCGAACGGGUGAGUAACACGUGGGUAACCUGCCCAUCAGAGGGGGAUAACAUUCGGAAACGGAUGCUAAAACCGCAUAGGUCUUCGAACCGCAUGGUUUGAGGAGGAAAAAGAGGCACAAGCUUCUGCUGAUGGAUGGACCCGCGGUG
rnacentral:rRNA from 1 species